rnacentral:sRNA from 2 species
UUGCUAUCUGCGAUAUGGAAGAUUCGCACCUGCCGCAGGUUCGGGUCGAACGCAGUGAGACAACGGAGCCGUUUACGGCAACGGCCCGUAGGGCGAGGCGAAGCCGAGUCAUCCUGCACGACCCACCA